rnacentral:lncRNA from 1 species
AGGGGCUCUGUUUUCAACAUGCUUGGAGCAACUAUUCUCCACAAAGCACUCAUGCUUUAAUUUGGUCUCACAAAGCCAAACAAAGUGGCUAAACUUUGAAUGCAGGUAUGUCAAAGUGUAGGUUGCCAAAACAUUUGAUCAUCUGUUUAUGCUUUAUAUAUAUAAGUAUAUCUGUAGUAGACCAAAACCUAUGAUCAAAAAUCAAAAUAAAGUGAAAUAAAAUAAAAGAAAUGUUACCCAAACCUCCAAAUGGCUCCUACCACUACUGUUCUUUACUAUCCAAUUUUAUUAGGAAAAACUUCAAAUUCCUCCCUUGUGGUUUCACUUUCUUUCGCUUUAGUAUCCUGUGGUUUAAAAUGUAUCAAGUUAGUACACUGUGGUUUCUCACUUUAUUAUUUUAGUACCCUGUGGUUUAAAGUGUAUCAAGUUAGUACCCUAUGGAUUUGCACUUUAUCACUUUAGUAUCCUAUGGUUCCGCACUUUAUCACUUUAGUGCCCUGUGGUUUAAAAACGACAGGGUACUAACUUAAUACAAAAAUAAAAUCACAGAAUACUAACUUGAUACAAAAAAUAAAACCACAAAUUUUAUGACCCUUUAAUAGUUUGGUUAGUGAUAUAAAAAAAAAAUAUGAAAUUUGAUUUCUAAAUAGUUUAAAUGAUUUACAUUACAUUCAACAGUACCAAUUAUCGAUUUGAAAGCUCAAUCAUCAAAAAUAAAUUGAUGGUGAACCUAACGGUUUACUACUGAUAGUAAUCCAGUCAAACUCAUUAUAUAUCAUUAUUUUUUAAAAAUAUUUUCAAAUAAUAUAUAUAUAUAUAUAUAUAAUAUGGCUGGAAUACUAUCAAUAGCAUCAAGCUAUUUAUGCUAUUAGGUUUUCGGUCCUUAGAUGAAAAAAUGUACGGUUACGAUGAUGUAGGUUGUCUAGGGUUGAGUAAGUUAUUGGUUGAACAGUAUAAUUUAACAGGUAAAAAUAGUCAAAGGGUUAAAUCUAACGACGGAAAUUAAAUUCGGUAGCACCGAGUACUUGGUCCUAUCGAUAGUAUCCCAAUCGGACUCUACAUAGAUAUAAUAUUAAACAGACCGUACAUUU